GAGAGGAUAGUGGUGGGGUUGUGGCGGCUGUUCGGUUCCUGGCUGAGCCCUGCGGGUCAAGGUCUGGGCUGGUUUGCCUGUCAGCGGUUCUACAACGUGUGCCCAAGACUGACGUUGUCCGUAUGAAAAUAGUGUGAGGAUAUUAGUGUGGUGAAAGCUCUCAGAUUUCAUGGAGCUUAAUGGUCUAGGAACUGCAUUUGCCCUACAAAAUUGAUCUACGUCCAAAGGGGUUCAGACAGAUCUUAUUCUGACAAGUUUUAGAUGGAACUCAUGAAGAGUCCAUCUCACUGAAAUCACUUAUGCAGAGAAAUGCCUCAAAGGAUUCAAUUUACGAGAUGGGAAGAAAAACUGACUGCAAAAAUGAGAUGCUUUUGAAUAGAGCAUGAAAUGCUGCCUCUUCUCAGGUGGAGGGUGGCAAACUACCAUCCGUGAUGCGCAUGUGACUAGACUCUUGCAAAAUGGCAUUGCAGAAAAAUGAGGAACACAAUUAGUGCUGCUCUUAUGAAGUAAGUUUGGGUGUGCCUACAUCUGUGGUAUGGAAAUGCCCUCAAAGCCUCAUAAACUACCAGAAAUUAGCUUGUGCCUUUCAACUGAAACGCUCCUGUCAGAAAGGCCUUGUUUUGGACCGUGUAAGAAUGUGUACCUGUUCACAAAUUCGUGGAUAGAUACAUAAGCUGUAGAACAGGAACAACCAUUACACAGAUGGGGACUCACAGUGCAGAAUAUGCAGGAGAAAAGAGAAAAUGGUAGGCACUAGAUAUCCAGGGAGGCAAAAAGAGUGGCACAGGAUAACUAGGAUGAUCCUGAGGACAGAAGCUUGGGAAUUAAGCCAGAAAAGAAGGAGCACGAUUAUGUGUGGCUAUAAUGGCUUCUUGGCAGGAAUCUUGAAAGCACUGCCAUCUUCAUUGGACUGAGAAGAAGCUGAAGCACAAAUAAAUCAUUUAAAUGAUGAAGAUCUAAGUUUAUAACGGAUUGUAACCAGAGGUGCCCAGGGGUAGCAUGUGUUUGAGGAAUCCCAUUUUCUCCUUUCACUUCUUCAGCAUUAAGAGCAAAUGGAACCAUCAUAACCUCUAAAGUUGAACCAAUUGGAGGAUGGUGUCUCAUUGCUUCAUAUUUCACACUGGACACAUCAUGUCAGUCUUAACUAACAUUUGCAUAUGGAUUUGUCUUUUCACUGUUCUAUGUGUGUGAUCUCUGAUCUCAAUACUUUCAGAAGUCUGUACUUCUCUGAAAAACAAAGCAAAAGCAAUGGUGUGCAAUAUCUUAAGCCUACUUCUUUGAAAAAGGAAUGUAUUUCCAACAGGAAAAACUAAACAUCAGUGUGUCAUUCUUCAGUAUAAAGUUUUCCUUCUGCCCUACUUCAAGAUCCUUCUAGUUAGUUCUGAAGCCCUGUAAAGGAAAGGUACUACCUCUUUUCAGGACAGUUGAAACUUCAAGCUUAGUUAUCGCAAAAUAAUCCCAGAUAGUUUUUCCACUAAGAAUAAAACUUAAUACUGUGUUCUUUCAUAGCAACGUACUGACAAACUUAUUUAAAGAUGGCAAAAAAUUUCAAGGCAUAUGGUUAGAAAGCCCCAGGGCGCCUAUUCAGCAGGAUAUUUAAACACUUGCCUACUUCAAAAUAGGUGAGUGGUCCUGCUGAAGUCAAUAGCGCUACUUCUGUGCUUAAAGUCAGGCAUACACUUUAAUAUCUUGCUAAACUGAAGCCUCGGGUCCACUUAUUUUAAUCUUGCAAAAUGCUUCUUCACAUUCUGGGUAAGAGCAUUCAGAAUGAAGUGUCUUUUGUUAAAAAUAGAUCUGUUACCUUAAAGAUAUCCAGGAGGAACAUGU
rnacentral:lncRNA from 7 species